GACGAACGCUGGCGGCGUGCCUAAUACAUGCAAGUAGAACGCACAGUUUAUACCGUAGCUUGCUACACCAUAAACUGUGAGUUGCGAACGGGUGAGUAACGCGUAGGUAACCUGCCUGGUAGCGGGGGAUAACUAUUGGAAACGAUAGCUAAUACCGCAUAAUAUUGAUUAUUGCAUGAUAAUUGAUUGAAAGAUGCUAUUGCAUCACUACCAGAUGGACCUGCGUUGUAUUAGCUAGUAGGUGAGGUAACGGCUCACCUAGGCGACGAUACAUAGCCGACCUGAGAGGGUGAUCGGCCACACUGGGACUGAGACACGGCCCAGACUCCUACGGGAGGCAGCAGUAGGGAAUCUUCGGCAAUGGACGAAAGUCUGACCGAGCAACGCCGCGUGAGUGAAGAAGGUUUUCGGAUCGCAAAGCUCUGUUGUAAGAGAAGAACGGGUGUGAGAGUGGAAAGUUCACACUGUGACGGUAUCUUACCAGAAAGAGACGGCUAACUACGUG
rnacentral:rRNA from 1 species